CGCCUAGCCAUCGAAGCCACCGCAUGCCCCAGCGAAUAUCGCCGCCGCCCGCCUGAGGGCCUCAUGCCGCCGCCGCUCGCCCCUUUUCUGUAGGUCGCCGAUGCAACCCCGGGACCCGGGACCGUUUGCUCCUCCUAACCAGGCCCGAGUAGGCGACCGUCAGGAACGCGCAGCCGCCGGAGCCAUGGGUAGAUCCAGCCGGGGCCGUCGACAGCCAUCCCCCCCUCCGGCGGCCAUGAAGAAUUGAAGAGGCUUGAACAGAACGAGCGCAUGGACCGUGCGCGCCUCCCACGCUAGGAGCCAUCGGUCCUCGUCAGCUGCUAACCUUCACAUGGAAUCGAUCUAUAUUGUCGGCGCCUCAAGGGUUUAUGCAUAUCAAUUCCAUGUUGCUUAAAGCCACUGUAAUGAUGGCUAUUGAUUUCCAGUUGUGUGCAUAGAUGAACCUAUUCUGGAUAAUGAGUUAGUAAGAUUCAAAAGAAAAUAAAAGGAGUUGGAGGUGAAUUCUUCGGUUGGAUGAAGAAGCAAAUAAAAUGAGAAGAUUUUACUUAGCAAUAACCAUAGUUUACAUUGAUAGAUCGAAAAGUGUAAUGCCAUUCACAAGAUCUGUUUCUUUGGUCGAAUGAUGCAAAUUCUAUGGUGUAAUAUUCUCCAUAGAUGUGUUCUCUAUAGUAGAGUUGAUAUGAAUGAUAUGUUGUUCAACCAAUAACAUUGGUAUUUAUUGCAAUGUAUAUGUAUCCUACACUCUUGUA